GACGAACGCUGGCGGCGUGCCUAACACAUGCAAGUCGAGCGGAGAUGUACGGAAGGUUUACCGGAAGUACAUCUUAGCGGCGGACGGGUGAGUAACGCGUGGGCAACCUGCCUUUUACUGGGGGAUAACACAGGGAAACUUGUGCUAAUACCGCAUGAUAUCACAUGGGGCAUCCUGUGUGAUCAAAGGAGCAAUCCGGUAAAAGAUGGGCCCGCGUCCGAUUAGCUAGUUGGUGAGGUAACGGCUCACCAAGGCGACGAUCGGUAGCCGGACUGAGAGGUUGGCCGGCCACAUUGGGACUGAGACACGGCCCAGACUCCUACGGGAGGCAGCAGUGGGGAAUAUUGCGCAAUGGGGGAAACCCUGACGCAGCGACGCCGCGUGAAGGAUGAAGGCCUUCGGGUUGUAAACUUCUUUGAUGAGGGACGAACAGAUGACGGUACCUCAAAAACAAGCCACGGCUAACUACGUG
rnacentral:rRNA from 1 species